AUUGAACGCUGGCGGAAUGCUUUACACAUGCAAGUCGAACGGCAGCACGGACUUCGGUCUGGUGGCGAGUGGCGAACGGGUGAGUAAUGUAUCGGAACGUGCCCAGUCGUGGGGGAUAACGUAGUGAAAAUUACGCUAAUACCGCAUACGAUCUAUGGAUGAAAGCGGGGGAUCGCAAGACCUUGCGCGAUUGGAGCGGCCGAUAUCAGAUUAGGUAGUUGGUGGGGUAAAGGCCCACCAAGCCAACGAUCUGUAGCUGGUCUGAGAGGACGACCAGCCACACUGGAACGGAGACACGGUCCAGGCUCCUACGGGAGGCAGCAGUGGGGAAUUUUGGACAAUGGGCGAAAGCCUGGUCCAGCCAUUCCGCGUGCAGGAUGAAGGCCCUCGGGUUGUAAACUGCUUUUGUACAGAACGAAAAGGUUUCUACUAAUACUAGGAGCUCAUGACGGUACUGUAAGAAUAAGCACCGGCUAACUACGUGCCAGCAGCCGCCGUAU
rnacentral:rRNA from 1 species